GAGCUAUAGUAGGAAGUCAUUAAAAGAUGUUUUGACACACUGUCUCUCACGGGUACCCAAGAAAAGGACUGUUCCAAAAUGUGUCACGUCUCCCCGAGUGGGAGUGUCACAAUUACGCGGAUGAGGAUGAAACUCCUCUCAUGGGUCUGAAAUCAUGCAGAAUGCUAUGGAUUGUAGGGGAAAUAAGGAAUUAACUGGCUAUAUUUCUCAAAAGAUUUUACAAAUAUGUUAUUGCUUUGAUAUCUUGUAUAUUCAGGUAAAGUCUUUUUAUGGCCAGAGGCUUUUGUCCGUGAAUGACGAAUAUUCCAUGACAAUUAGCUCUUUAAUACUUCAUAAGAUCAUAACCAUCACCUUGCACUCUGUAUUGCACACAGAUUUAACAAGGGACUAGCUUUUUGAUUAAUUUGAUCCAUAUGCUAUAGUAUUACUUCAAGCCACUUAAAGUGAACUACACUCUUAAAAGACAUCCACAAAAGCGUUCUGCGAAUUGUAGAUCUAACAAAAUCAAAGCUUCCCGUCCUUCCUCCCCUCACUGUCCUCUAAAUCUCAUGGCCGUGAAGUGAAAUCACUUCAAGUGAUGACGCAAGUUCAUGUCAUUUCGAUCAUAGUGUCAUUUGUUGUGUUUAAUCAAAAGGCAGUCUCCGUACCAUGCACACCCCAAGGUCUGCACAUCAGAAGUCAGUGCAGAAAGAUCCCAAUUAGAGCUUAAUGGAAGUUUCCCCAACACAAAAGAGGCUGUUAGUAUUUUAUCAGGUUCCAUUUUUUUCACCUAGAUUUCAAUUCUUAUUUGGCACAAAUGAUGAAUUCGCCUCUUUAAAGCUUUUUACGGGAGAUAAAAGCACAGUUUCCGACUAGCUUAGCAUAAAGUAGCCCAUUGUCAGCAUGUCUGAUUCAACACAGAACCCAAACAUGUAAUAGUUGCACGUUCGAAGUGCAAAGCCGUAUGAGGCGUGCUUGCUUUCUGGCACAGCAUGCACACCAUUAUGUUUGCACCAUUCAUUUGAAUCAAAGUAAUCACUUCUUUUUACAGCCCUUAUAUCAUAAAGCCUCAUGGUAUGGCCGACCCCCGUUUCCCACUGCAGACAUACCAACACUUUUUGGUGUUUUGAAAGGUAGACAUCCCUCAUAUUCCAGCACAUAAUGAGGGCGUAGAUCUACUUGAUUCUCCUGGUGGUUCUACUCUGCUGUCACAUACAUAAUUAGAGGAAUAGUCUUCACGCUUACGACUCGUUCAGCUCGAUCCAAAACUGUUCAUUUUGGGAUCUGUGACCACCUCAAAAUGAUUCCCUGGCAAUUCGCAAUUAUUAUUUUACCAGUGUUAUUUUUUCCACUGUGACAGGAAGCAACCCAGAGGAAAGCCUUCAGCAGCUGAGGAGCUCUGGCGCCGACAGGUGAUUCCCUUCUAAUGGAUGCUAAUGUGGUGGACAUGACUGAGGAUAUUCCCACUGGUGUACACUUACAGUUAAUUGAUAAUUGAGGUUCUAUGAAAAGAUGCACAUUAAAUCAUGGCCAAUGAGCCUGCCUAUAAGGUUGCAGCUAUUUAAAGAACAAGUCUCCAGAGCCUCUUAAGGUUUCCCCACAACUGGAAUGCACUUACAAUGAAUAAUUAAGGUGGAAAUAUUCUCAACUCAUACUAACUUAUUUAAGACAUUAUUUCAAACAUUAUACAUUAUUGCUAGAUGUUAAAAAGCAUAAACACUUUCACCUCCUCUGAAUCCUGGUUGCUUUAUCGAUCUAGAGGUGUUUCUGGGAUUUACUUGAAUUGAAUUAACAUGAAUAACCUCCAACAUGGCUGCACAAAAUUUCUGUUUUGCUGCUCUUUGCUAGCCGCUGAUAUCGUAACGCAAAGAUUCUUUCUACGGUAGAGGCGUUGCACGGAGGCUACAUGCAUUUUGUAUUUACAAAUUACAAAAGGUGCAGAGAAAGUUCUUCGUUCAAUCAUGUGCUGUUCAUCGUGUUUCUUACUUUUUGCUGCUAUGGAUUAGCCUGGGCGCCACGGUUGAAAUCAUAACGUCAAUAAAAUAUUUUUUAAACGCAAAUGUUUAUGAUUAGUGGGUUUUUGUGUGAAAUCACAAAUAACAAACUAAUGUUUUGUGUAGUGAAUUGUGUUGCAUUUCAUAUUACUUUUCCCCCACAUAUAAAACAAACCCAAUUACUUUGGAUCUAUUCAUUUAACAUCAUCAAUCAAAUAAUAAGAUGUUAUGGUCAUUGUGGUUCAAUUGAAAGUUCUGAAUCUUAUGAUCUAUGAGGUGACUAAACAUCCAGAGUAAUGGGACAAUAGGACACAGGAACACAUGUUGUCGUAAUUACACGAUACUAGAAAAAACAACAGCCGACUGAGGGAAUCCCUUUAAUAUGAAGGAUACCAUUGUGUCCUUGUAAUUCAAAUAUUUUAGCCUGUGCCUAAACGUGGACAAAAGAUACCAAACAAAUGUAUUUAUGUAUCUACUGACUUGAAAAGGUAUUUUAGCAGAUUUGGAAGAAAACAUUGUAUUGUCAUCUGAUCUCAACAUUUUUGGGGGAGUAUUAUGGCGAUAUGUAUUGUUUGUAUUAGACCGCUUUUCCAAGACACUGCUAUCACACCAGAUGUGGCGGCUGAGGCUGACUUGGGAUUGGAGCGACUGUACAAACAGAUCGGACCGGUCUAGCCGGGUGGGAUCCUACAACUGUGCUAGCUGACAGUCAGCCAUCUUGUUGUUAUCCAAUCAAUGAGUCAUCACCUGUUCAGUUAGAGCUACGCCACCUCAGGCUACACGGCCACAGGAGCUGCACUUCACCAGCUGGCUAAAACUGCUUACUUUCAAAUAAUUAGCACAGAUCAGAUGUUUUUUUUUUUCCCUUUUGAGAAAGAAGGAUCAAGUUUCAUGGGCAGUAAAAGCGAUGCCACUGGUGAAAAACAAACGCUGGUCAUCUGUCAGGUAUGGGGGUUAAAACAUCAGUUUGUUUAAAGGGCGCAUUAGUACCGGUUUAUUUGUUAUCACUGUUAACUUAAUUUUUACAUCAUAAAAGCAGUAUCCACCUGUGUUUUGCAUAUUUUUAGGAGAAUGUGGAUGUGUCGACAGUGUAGAUAAAAAGGCUAAAGAAAACACGUUUCUUUGUUUGUGGUUGCACUGCACUAACACACACAUCCUUAUUUUGUUGUUUCUAUGUGAACAUAUGUGUGUGUGUGUGUGUGUCUUCACAGAUUUCGGUUUGUGUAUUCACUGUGUUCUUUCCAACGGCAACUGGGACUCUUUUCUCUCUGAUCAGUCAGUUAUUGUAUCUCUGUCUUCACUUUAUAUGUUUGUUCUUUUUGCCAAACACAGUCCCAUUAAUAGUGCAUGGAUAAGAAAGAAAAAGGCAAAUAGAGAGCAAACCAGCAGCAAACCACCAAACUGCCAUGCACGCCCUUAUUUAAUAUUCUCUGUGCUUUCAGCCCAAGCUGCUCGUCCUGUGCACUGUCUAGUCAAAUCAUGACGGCCAGGAUUAAUCUGUCUCUUUAAGAAAAAACACCUUCAACAAGUAUAUAGAAAAGGAGAACCGUUUUAUUAAAGCACAUGUCGGUUGCUGUGUCUUUAUUGUGGCUGUAUUAUAAUUCGCUACGUUAAAAUACAACUGGGUUCAACAGAAAGGAAACAGAGUCCAUUUUGCAUGCAUGUCUUUUCAUCCUGGCUUGCACAGAAAUAAUGUUGUGCUCAGUCGGAUGCAUUUUAUUCUGUUUGAAAAUAUUCCCAUGAGAAUUUACAGUGGGCCUGAAGAGGAACUGGAUGGACGCAAACCACACUAACUCCGAGCUAAUCAAUGUGUUAGUGUUUAAGUGCAUGAUAGGGAGCCGCUUUGUCCAGAGGCCUUUCACAUGGUAAGUGAGUCCUAAUCUCUCAGCAGUACUAUGGCAAAACCAACCAUUUCUAAUGGCAAACAGUGGGCUUUUGGAAACUAUUGACUGCUGGGUGGUGUGAGAGACCGUGGGGAAAUGUCCUGGCAAGUGCUGCAAAUUCAGCUGCUCUUUUAUGCACAUAACACACACAAAUGUCUUUGUCCGUCUCAAUCAAAUAUACACUACCUCUCUGAAACACACACAGACACACACACACGCUCCCUCACACACACUCAGAGUACGGGGCCAGGUGGUGUAGUUAUUGCCAGAUCUUGCUCUCUGCUCUCCUGAGUGCAAUUGGUAACCUGAGCUGCCUGUUUGAAUAGCUCAGUUAUACCAAAAGCUUCCUUGCCGCAGAGAUAACGUGGAACAGUGCCCAAAACGCAAUUUGUCCCGGCUCAGGUUAGUCAUUGACUGCGUGAUGAAUACUGAAAUUGAGCUUUCAAAGUCACUUUAACGGUCUUUUCAUAAGAAAUUAGGGAGAUUUAAAAGUUGGUUGGAUGGCCUCACGGGCGCAGCUUGUAUCCAAAAUCUGUCAACCUGAGUGCAAGUUAGUCAGUGGGAAUGUGUCAGCUGAGGGGAUGUGACAGCCAGGCCCGGGGCCUCCUCAUUUAAUUAAGGAGCCCGUCUUGUUUUGGGGAACUCACAUCCAAACACGUCUUCCAAGAUCUCCCAGGGCAGUUUAUAUUUCAAACACGAUUCAGUACAUAUUUUGCGUUGAUGUUUUCUGAUUUAACCUGCAUGUGUCCAAUAUUCUGCCUCCUAGCUAAACUAGCUUUACUCUCGCUACCAAUAGCACUCAUUUGUCCAGCAAAUAUUUGUUUUCACCCCUCCCCCUCCCAACAAUAGCCUGUAGACCACAACACGCCCUUUGGAUCACAAUGACAACAAAGAUGAUUCUGUUAACUGUUGUUGGAUUGGUAGUACACAUUAACAAUGUCUAUGAUUGACUUAUUUAGAUUAGCUUCAGGUUGGAAUAUAACUGAAAGAGAACUCCGUUUUAUAUUGUACACUACAGUCUAGGCAUUAUGAUGAUAUUUUAAAAAUCUUGAACUUCACUGUACAGAAAAUAAUAUAAUAUCUCAGACCAUAUCAUGAAUUCAUUGCAAUAACAUAUGACUGACAUAAGUCAUCUUCAAUAAUAACUUAACCAAACCAAUAGAUAAUGGAGCCGAGUCCAUGCGCGCGUCCAUUACAUGAAAUAAAUUAUUUGUGCGAAUGAAUGAAAUGCGUGUCUCCCACGUGUCCCCGUCGGCCCGGGGCCGCCCUCUAUAGGCCCCGUGCGGUACUGCAGCAGCGGAGCGCCUCCUCCCUCCUCCUGAAGCCGGAGUUGCAUUCCUCUCCUCUCCAUUCACGCGUAGGGAGCCGCCGGAGAGAGAGCCCCGCCGCUCCGUGACCACAGUGGAAUGUCCCGAAGUUUUGGAAUUUAAAACCAUGGAAAGGAUAUCUAACCUCCGGAUCACUUGAACCUGUAAGUACCGUGGAAACUGCGGCGAAGGAUUUUGUUUUUUUAUUUUUCACGUGUAAGGAGCGGCGGUUUGUAGGGAGCCGGCUUAAAUAUUUGUUUCUGUCUCUCCAUUGCUCUGUGCGGGGAGUUUGUCGUUGUUUCCCUCCGUCGCCCCCCCGUCCUCCCCCACUUGCUUCUUCUCUGCUCUCGGGCGUCUGGUUUCCCUCACGAGUUUGAAGAGCUCGAGCCUCCAGCCUUGGUUUUGGUUGCAGUGAAACGGGCACGAAGAGGAACCGUAGAGUUCCUCCGAUAUCCAGUAAUGGGCGCGCUUGUGUGUGUGUGCGUGUGGUUGCGCGGUGUUGAACGCGCACUCCGGUGUGACCACCAGUCGGAUCGAUCCGCAACAAACUGCGGAUGGUCUGGACGCCGAACGGCGAUUUAACGAACUAAUUAAAUUAAUUCGAACAUAUCUUACUGAAUAAUUUCGUGGUUCGCACCCGGGGAGCGAACUAUUUUUUGCAAGUAACCCGGAUUUGGUGCAGCGCGAGGUGAGUUUUGUCUGGUUUGACUCCGGCCACAGUAAAAAGAAAGCGACUUUUCCUCAUUUGGGAGUUCUUCGCCGCACGAGUAACAUGUGGAGUUUUUUCUAAUAAAAUACAAGCUACCGGUGCGGGUACCGAGCCGGCGGAGGGUGCGUGUGGCUGUUGCACCGCCUCGGGAGAGGCAACGGCAGCACACGCACACCCGCGGGCUCAGGUACCCGCCGCCCCGACGCUCACGCGCGGAUGAAUAGUCCGUGGAGGCUGCGUGGAUUUAACCCCCCCCCCCCCCACCUCGUUCUUGUUUAUUUGUUCUUUACACUUGUACCGACCCUGCAUAGGCUUUCCUAAACGGACCUCUAAGGGUGGAGGUGUGUGUGUGAUUUCUCCUCUGGGUGCUCGCUUUAAAAGAAAAGCAAUCGAUUGAGCUAUUAGCUUUGAAUGAAUUGUAAAUUGCGUCGGCGUGGUGUGAAAGGCGCGUUAACGUGCUAACGAACGAGAGGCGCUUUGUGAGUGCUGUCUGUGGGUGUGUAGAGUGCGCAUUGCUUGUCAAGCUAUUCAAAAUGCUCUCAUUGCUCCAUCGGAUUCUCCUCAGUUCUUUCCCCUUUUUAGUAUUAGAAAAAAAUAAAAAAAUCAAAUCAAAUUACACUUCCCACGCCGACCCCCGCGCGCUAGUGACCCACGGAUUGUGGAUUCAUAAAUCAUAUUAGAAGAGUAAGGGACAUCAUUUUAACCUAUUUUGAUGGGUGAGUGGGGGGGGGGGGGGACCAGACUGCAGCCCAUCACUCCCCCUCCCCUUCCCUCUAAAACAAAUAAUCAGUGAAAUAUGAAGGGAGUCCUGGUUUGUAUUUAGUAGUUGAUACAGACAUGGCAGCGUUGAUGGAUGUAUCCUUUGGCACCACCCCAACACCCCCACAGGACACGGGCGUCACGUGACUAACGUGGUAACUCUUUAUCAGAAGUGACUUGACCCAUUUUUUCUUUUUGUCCCUCAGCCCAGUCAAGCGGCAGCUCCUUAUUGACAGUUAAAUGCGGUGGGCAGCGGGUUCCCAUUUAAAUGAUGCGGGAUGUGAACCGUGACGUGAGUGUUUGUUUAAGAGCCGGUGCCCAGUCCCACGGCUUUAAAUCAUUCCACGAAGGACUGACAGGCCGCCAGCCGCACAGUGGAGGUGCACCCGACUCCUUCCACCCAGAUCCUGACUUCACACCAGUGUGUGAACGAGGGCCGGGAGCGGCGGUAAUGGAGACCGAACUCUUUGCAGUAGCGCCGAGUGCGAAAAGUGGUCGGUGGCAGGAUCCUUUGUCUGAGCGGCAGGUUCCGAUGGUCUGUGGCAGGUUCCUUUGUCAGAACGGCAGGUUCCGAUGGUCUGUGGCAGGUUCCUUUGUCAGAACGGCAGGUUCCGAUGGUCGGUGGCAGGAUCCUUUGUUAGAACGGCAGGUUGCAGUGGUUUUUGGCAGUAUCCUUUUUCAGAAUGGCACAAGCCGAUCUUAGUUUGCCAUUUAGCGACAUGCAGAUUCCAUGUUCCAUGUCCAACGUUAAAUGAGUGUCUUCAUGAUCAUUGGUUUGCCGUAAAUGUUUUUUUCUAACUUUAUUAAGAAUCUAACACAACACAGCAAACUUGCAAAUAGCGCAGAGUAUUAAAUAAAGUGAUGUAUGUCUUAAUGCAAUGCUUUAGAAAUGAACCCAAAGGGAUUCUGUAUUUGCUCAUGAAGUCUGAAACAGGUAAUUUGGCCAAUGUUUCUUUUACAGCUGAGAGCCACAGAUUUAAUUUGUGUGUGUUGGGGGGG
ensembl:lncRNA